rnacentral:rRNA from 1 species
GAUAUUGGUCAAUGGUCGGAAGACUGAACCAGCCAUGCCGCGUGAGGUAGGAAGGCCCUACGGGUCGUAAGCCUCUUUUGACCGGGGACAAGAGCGCCCACGCGAUGGGUGCUUGAGGGUACCGGUGGAAUAAGCGUCGGCUAACUCCGUGCCAGCAGCCGCGGUAAUACGGAGGACGCGAGCGUUAUCCGGAUUCAUUGGGUUUAAAGGGUGCGCAGGCGGCCUGUCAAGUCAGCGGUGAAAGCCCGGGGCCCAACCCCGGAAGUGCCGUUGAUACUGUCGGGCUGGAAUGCGGUCGAGGCGGGCGGAACGUGGCGUGUAGCGGUGAAAUGCGUAGAUAUGCCACAGAACGCCGAUAGCGGAGGCAGCUCGCCAGGCCUGCAUUGACGCUCGGGCACGAAAGCGUGGGGAUCGAA